rnacentral:rRNA from 1 species
AGCUAAGUGGCGCAUGGGUGAGUAAUGUAUAGUUAAUCUGCCCUUUAGAGGGGGAUAACAGUUGGAAAUGACUGUUAAUACCCCAUAUUCCUUUCUACUUAAUGUAGAUUGGGAAAUGUCUUUUUGUUAAAGGAUGAGACUAUAUGGUAUUAGGUAGUUGGUGGGGUAAGAGCCCACCAAGCCAAUGACGCCUAGCUGGUUUGAGAGGAUGAUCAGCCACACUGGAACUGAGAUAUGGUCCAGACUCCUAUGGGAGGCAGUAGUGGGGAAUAUUGCACAAUGGAGGAAUCUCUGAUGCAGCAACGCCGCGUGGAGGAUGACGCAUUUCGGUGUGUAAACUCCUUUUAUAUGGGAAGAUAAUGAUGGUACCAUAUGAAUAAGCACCGGCUAACUCCGUGUUAGUAGUUGUGGUAAUACGGAGGGUGCAAGCGUUACUCGGAAUCACUGGGCGUAAAGCGCGCGCAGGUGGCCUUUUAAGUUGGAUGUGAAAGUUUAUGGUUUAAUUGUAGAAUUGCAUCCAAAACUAUCAGGCUAGAGUGUGGGAGAGGAAGAUGGAAUUAGUUGUGUAGGGGUAAAAUUUGUAGAGAUAAUUAGGAAUAUUAAAAGUGAAGGUAAUUUUUUGGAAUAUUACUGACGCUGAGGCGCGAAAGCGUGGGGAGCAAACAGGAUUAGAUAUCCUGGUAGUUUACGUUUUAAACGAUGAAUGUUAGUCGUCGGGUAGCUAGUCUAUUCGGUGAUGCAGUUAAUGUAUUAAACAUUCCGCCUGGGGAGUACGGUCGCAAGAUUAAAACUCAAAUAGACGGGGACCCGCACAAGUGGUGGAGCAUGUGGUUUAAUUUGAAAAUAUGUGAAGAACUUUACCUAGCCUUGACAUAUAUUAGAACACCCUAGAGAUAGAGUGGUGCCUUCGGGAGCUUUUAUACAGGUGUUGUAUGGCUGUCGUCAGCUCGUGUUGUGAGAUGUUGGGUUAAGUCUCGCAACGAGCGCAACCCUCGUCACUAGUUACUAAUGGUUUGGCCGAGGACUCUAGUGAGACUGCCUUCGUAAGGAGGAGGAAGGUGAGGACGACGUCAAGUCAUCAUGGCCCUUACGGCUAGGGCAAUACACGUGCUACAAUGGCCAGGACAGUGAGACGCGAUACUGUGAGGUGGAGCAAAUCUAUAAACCUGGUCUCAGUUCGGAUUGUAGUCUGCAAUUUGACUACAUGAAGCUGGAAUCACUAGUAAUCGUAGAUUAGUUAUGUUAUGGUGAAUACGUUCCCGGGUCUUGUACUCACCGCCCGUCACACCAUGGGAGUUGAUUUCACCCGAAGCGGGGAAGCUAAAUUGGCUAUCCUUUAUGGUGGAAUCAGCGACUGGGGUGAAGUCGUAACAAGGUA